rnacentral:rRNA from 1 species
AGGGCAAGUCUGGUGCCAGCAGCCGCGGUAAUUCCAGCUCCAAUAGCGUAUAUUAAAGUUGUUGCAGUUAAAAAGCUCGUAGUUGAAUUUCGGGGUUAGUAGGUUGGUCAUGCCUCAGGUAUGUACUGAUCUCACUGAUUCCUCCUUCCUGAUGAACCGUAAUGUCAUUAAUUUGGUGUUGCGGGGAAACUGGACUGUUACUUUGAAAAAAUUAGAGUGUUUAAAGCAGGCUAACGCUUGAAUACAUUAGCAUGGAAUAAUGAAAUAGGACGUUCGAUCUUAUUUUGUUGGUUUCUAAGAUUGACGUAAUGAUUAAUAGGGAUAGUUGGGGGCAUUAGUAUUCAAUUGUCAGAGGUGAAAUUCUUGGACUUAUUGAAGACUAACUACUGCGAAAGCAUUUGCCAAGGAUGUUUUCAUUAAUCAAGAACGAAAGUUAGGGGAUCGAAGACGAUCAGAUACCGUCGUAGUCUUAACCAUAAACUAUGCCGACUAGGGAUCGGAUGAUGUUAAUUUUUUAAUGACUCAUUCGGCGCCUUACGGGAA